AAUUUUGGACAAUGGGGGAAACCCUGAUCCAGCCAUCCCGCGUGUAUGAUGAAGGCCUCCGGGUUGUAAAGUACUUUUGGCAGAGAAGAAAAGGUAUCUCCUAAUACGAGAUACUGCUGACGGUAUCUGCAGAAUAAGCACCGGCUAACUACUUGCCAGCAGCCGCGGUAAUACGGAGGGUUCAAGUGUUAAACGGAAUUACUGGGGGUAAAGCGCGCGUAGGUGGUGUGUUAAGUUCGAAGUGAAAGCCCCGGGCGCAACCUGGGAACUGCAUUUUUAACUGCCGAGCUAGAGUAUGUCAGAGGGGGGUAGAAUUCCACGUGUAGCAGUGAAAUGCGUAGAUAUGUGGAGGAAUACCGAUGGCGAAGGCAGACCCCUGGGAUAAUACUGACGCUCAGAAACGAAAGCGUGGGGAGCAAACA
rnacentral:rRNA from 1 species